rnacentral:rRNA from 1 species
ACAACAACGAAGAGUUUGAUCCUGGCUCAGGAUGAACGCUAGCGACAGGCUUAACACAUGCAAGUCGAGGGGCAGCGGGGAGGUAGCAAUACUUCCGCCGGCGACCGGCGCACGGGUGAGUAACACGUAUGGAACCUGCCCGUAGCAGGGGGAUAAGCGGAAGAAAUUCCGUCUAAUACCGCGUAAUAACUCCGAGAGGCAUCUCAUGGAGUUUAAAGGGUAACACCGGCUACGGAUGGCCAUGCGGCGCAUUAGCUAGUUGGCGGGGUAACGGCCCACCAAGGCGACGAUGCGUAGGGGUUCUGAGAGGAAGGUCCCCCACACUGGUACUGAGACACGGACCAGACUCCUACGGGAGGCAGCAGUGAGGAAUAUUGGUCAAUGGGCGCGAGCCUGAACCAGCCAAGUCGCGUGAGGGAAGACGGUCCUAUGGAUUGUAAACCUCUUUUGUCGGGGAGCAAAAGACGCCACGCGUGGCGUUCCGAGAGUACCCGAAGAAAAAGCAUCGGCUAACUCCGUGCCAGCAGCCGCGGUAAUACGGAGGAUGCGAGCGUUAUCCGGAUUUAUUGGGUUUAAAGGGUGCGCAGGCGGAAGAUCAAGUCAGCGGUAAAAUUGAGAGGCUCAACCUCUUCGAGCCGUUGAAACUGGUUUUCUUGAGUGAGCGAGAAGUAUGCGGAAUGCGUGGUGUAGCGGUGAAAUGCAUAGAUAUCACGCAGAACUCCGAUUGCGAAGGCAGCAUACCGGCGCUCAACUGACGCUCAUGCACGAAAGUGUGGGUAUCGAACAGGAUUAGAUACCCUGGUAGUCCACACAGUAAACGAUGAAUACUAAUUGUUCGGGGAGAAUGAUCCCUGAGUGAUACAGCGAAAGCGUUAAGUAUUCCACCUGGGGAGUACGCCGGCAACGGUGAAACUCAAAGGAAUUGACGGGGGCCCGCACAAGCGGAGGAACAUGUGGUUUAAUUCGAUGAUACGCGAGGAACCUUACCCGGGCUCAAACGACACAGGAAUACUUUUGAAAGGAGGUAGCUCUACGGAGCCUGUGUCGAGGUGCUGCAUGGUUGUCGUCAGCUCGUGCCGUGAGGUGUCGGCUUAAGUGCCAUAACGAGCGCAACCCCCAUCGCCAGUUACCAGCAAGUCAAGUUGGGGACUCUGGCGAGACUGCCGGCGCAAGCUGUGAGGAAGGCGGGGAUGACGUCAAAUCAGCACGGCCCUUACGUCCGGGGCGACACACGUGUUACAAUGGCAGGUACAGAGAGAAGCAAUGCGGCGACGCAAAGCGGAACUUGAAAGCCUGUCUCAGUUCGGAUUGGAGUCUGCAACUCGACUCCAUGAAGCUGGAUUCGCUAGUAAUCGCGCAUCAGCCAUGGCGCGGUGAAUACGUUCCCGGGCCUUGUACACACCGCCCGUCAAGCCAUGGAAGCCGGGAGUGCCUGAAGUGUGCAACCGCAAGGAGCGCCCUAAGGUAAAACUGGUGACUGGGGCUAAGUCGUAACAAGGUAGCCGUACCGGAAGGUGCGGCUGGAACACCUCCUUUCUG